rnacentral:rRNA from 1 species
UACGUAGGGCGCAAGCGUUGUCCGGAAUUAUUGGGCGUAAAGAGCUCGUAGGCGGUCUGUUGCGUCUGCCGUGAAAACCCGAGGCUUAACCUCGGGCCUGCGGUGGAUACGGGCAGACUAGAGGUAGGUAGGGGAGAACGGAAUUCCCGGUGUAGCGGUGAAAUGCGCAGAUAUCGGGAGGAACACCGGUGGCGAAGGCGGUUCUCUGGGCCUUACCUGACGCUGAGGAGCGAAAGCAUGGGGAGCGAACAGG